UCUCCGUUGGUGAACCAGCGGAGGGAUCAUUACAGGACUCGCAAGACUCCUACACCCCUGUGAACUUAACUAUAAGCACGUUGCUUCGGCGGGUGUCUCUCAGGGGGUUCUCCCUCCCGAGACGCUAAACCCGCCGGCAGCCUACUAUACUCUGUCUCUUUGCGUUGGCAUCUCGAGUACAAUCAAACAAGUUAAAACUUUCAACAACGGAUCUCUUGGUUCUG
rnacentral:misc_RNA from 1 species